UGCUCCAUAUUAAAGCCAUUGCUGCCAGACAGAGCUGGCAUUGAAUCCAUGUGGAGCCUCCGUGUGGGAGGAUGCACACCAGCUCUAUAUUGGACACAGGGGAGGAAAAGAGACAAGGUCUUACUAUGUAGUCUGGAACUCACUAUGUGAACAAAGCUAAGUUUGAACUCCCAGAACACUGCCUGCCUGCCUGCCUGCCCGCCCGCCUGCCCGCUGGGUUUUAAAUCAGAGGAGGUGCCACCCUGGGAGCACACCCUUUCCUUGGUUGCUGUUUGAGACUGGGACCCAGGUUCUAACCCUUCGCCAGAGCCAAUCUCCUAGCUUCUUCUCCUAGGGCCUGGCAGUGCAGUGCUGAGCUGGACACAUGGCCGGCUGAGACUCCACUCUGCUUGUCAGCAAUGCAGUUUCCCUGUGAGAGCAUUCCCAAGGUCUUUCACAUCCAUUAUCACUGCAAACCCAUGUUGUUGGCAGCCCUGUUGUUUUGUUCCCUCUUAUGAACAAGCAGGACACAGCCACUCAAGGUCAACAGCUAAGUUGGUGGCUGAUGCAACCCUCUGUCACGCCUCUGUGCUUUUGAAUGAGCUGUUUCUGACUCCAGGAUGUCAGCCUUCCUCCACCGGGCAGGUUCCUUCUGGACCUACACUACCUCUCCUCCUUCCUCCUCGGACUGAGUAUCAAGCCAGCUCAGCGAUUGGCCUCCUCGUGAAGCUUCCCUCUAGUCCCUCUUGGCUCCUGUUCCCUGAAAGGAGUUGCCUGCAGCACACUAUGGAACUAUAGCAGGAGGUCGUGAACUACUCGAAUUAACUCCCUGGAGUUAUCUCUUGCCGGGAAGGAAGGACUCGGGCAGGGUUUUCAGAGGGAAGUCUGGGAAUUUCUGUUGAUGUAUGUGAAUACAUUAUUUUGCUAAGCAAUGCCACGAGGCGGAGGCUAGAAGAUCAGGAGUUCAAAGCCAGCCUGAGCUACAUGAGACCUUGUCCGGAACAAUCCUACAGCUGACAUCAUACUUAAUGGCAAAAAGUGGCUGCCUAUUCCCCAAGAUUAGCGGCAAAGGUGUGAGCUCCAACUCUUCUCCGUCGCUGUAUGAGUGGCCCCAGACUGCGCAAUAAGAGACUGAGCUCAGCCCUGGAUGGCACGUCUCUAUUAACUCCGCCACCACUGGGACCUGGGGAAGAGGAGGAUGGAGAGGUGGAAUGCUGUUUUCUGGAUGUGAUGUGAGCACUGCAGUCAGCUCACGGCAUCUGAGGUGACCCAUCUGCACAGUAUCAGACUAGCCAACGUCCCGGCACAGACAGCGGAGAUGACCUGCGAGCCCCACUCUUUCUUUCCUGAGGAGCUAUUGACCGAGGAAAUCACCUUUGGAAUAACGUCAAGUUUGAGAGGCUUACACUUGUGUUCCAUACUAUGCUGAAUGGUGUGGAAAACUCCGUGGUCACGCAAAGGAGUGGCUGGCACCUCUGUGUCCACAGACUGGCCAGUGGGUAGGUACUGUCCAGAAAAGGUCUCCUCUCUUCCUCCUGCUUUCGUCUUGGCUUUAGCUUCCGAGAGGCUGCAGGGCACGAGGCUCUGUGACCAAAGAGCCACCUGUGCCUCUGUUUCCCCACCUGCUGUGGCAGGGGGCCAGGCUAAUUGAACUGAUACUUCAGAGUGAGGAUUAAUAAUGACUGAGGUAGGGGGUGGAGCAAUGCCUCAGCCGUUAAGAGCAAUUGUUGCUCUUGCUGAGAACCGGUUCAGGUCCCAGUACCUACAUCCAGUGGCUCGGAACUGUCAGUUCCAGAGAAUCUUAAAUCCUCAUCUGGCCUUAACAGGCACAUGCAAGCGUGCGCUCUCUCUCUCUCUCUCUCUCUCUCUCUCUCUCUCUCUCUCUCUCUCUCUCUCCCCCCUCUCUCUCUUGCACACGGGUGCAAAUAAAUCUUUUUUUUUUUUUUGGUUCUUUUUU
ensembl:lncRNA